rnacentral:rRNA from 1 species
GUUAUUUUAUAAUUAUUAUUUGUUUGAUUGUUAAAUAUUUUUAUUAUGAAAUAUAUUUAUUUAUAUGGUUUAAUGUAAUUGAUUUUUAUUUAUUGUAAUUAUAGUAAAUUAAGUAUUGAAAGAGAAAUUUAGUGUUUAUUUUUAUAGAAAAUCUUUAGUAUUUUACCUUUUGUAUUAGGGAUAAACUAAUAUUUAUAUUAUUUUAAUAUUCUCGAAUAUAGAGUUGAUCUAAUUAAAAUUAAUAGAUUAUUGUUUCAUUAAUAAGGGUAAGUUUUAAUUAGUGAUGAAAUGUCUUUCGUAAUCUAAUAUAUCUAGUUUAUGUAUUGUAAUUUAUUUAUUUGUAUAUUCAAGGGAUAAUUUUUGAUUUAUUUUUAUAAAAUUAUUAUUUAUAUUUAUAUUUUGAUUUGAUAGUAUUAAUAAUUUAAAGUGUGUUUAUACUUAAAUAUUUUAGUGUUAAUUUUUAUAUUUAUUACAUAUAUAUUAAUUAAUUUUUUGUUAAUAGUAAAAAUGUUUGUAUUAGUAUAUUUAUUUUAUAUAAUAAUUUAUAUAUAUUUUAUUUUGAGUAAAGGAAUUCGGCAAAUUUGUUCUUCGCCUGUUUAUCAAAAACAUGUCUUAUUGUAUUUAAUAAUAAGUUUGACCUGCCCACUGAAAUAGUAUGUUUAAAUGGCCGCAGUAUAUUAACUGUGCAAAGGUAGCAUAAUAAUUUGUUUUUUAAUUGGAGACUGGAAUGAAUGGUUGGACGUAAGAACUGCUGUCUCUAUUUUUUUUAUUGAAUUUUACUUUUAAGUGAAAAGGCUUAAAUUUUAUUAAGGGACGAGAAGACCCCAUCAAGUUUUAUAAGUGUAAGUUUUUAUUUUUUCAUAUUUAAUUUCUUAAUUUAUUUUUCUGGGGCGGAAGAAAUAGUAUAUCUUUUUUUAAAGUGGAAAUAACUAUUAAGUUUAUUAUUGAGUUUUAAUUAAAAAUAAUAUGAAUAAAUUACUGUGGGGGUAACAGCGUUAUUUCUUUUUAGAGUUCAUAUUAAUAAAGAAGAUUGCGACCUCGAUGUUGGAUUAAUUUUACCUAAUGGUGAAGAAGCUAUUAAGGUGAGUCUGUUCGACUUUUAAUAAAAUUACAUGAUCUGAGUUCAGACCGGCGUAAGCCAGGUCAGUUUCUAUCUUUAAUAAAUUGAUUAUAAGUUAUUUAGUACGAAAGGACCUAUAACUUUAAAUUGUUUGUUUAUGUAAAUUUAAUUUUA